AUGCUACCGGAUAGGAAGGAGUGGAAUGUUGAUCUCAUUAAGCAAAUCUUUCAUGACUUCGAUGCGGAAGAGAUCUGCAAAAUCCACAUUCCGAGCGCCGAGGUGGAGGACUGUAUUGCUUGGCACUGCGAGCGGAACGGUGUGUUUUCAGUAAAAAGCGCUUAUAAGCUUGCUACAUCACUCAAAGGCCAAGCUGUUCCUGCAACAUCUAGCUCAUCCGGGACAGCGCAAGAUAGGAGCAUUUGGGACCUCGUCUGGAAGGCAAGGGUUCCACCUAAAGUAAGAAUUUUUGGGUGGAGGAUCGCAACGAGUACACUAGCAACGAAAAAGAACAAGUUCAGAAGAACUUUGGAGUUGGAUAAUACUUGCAAUCUAUGUGGUUGUAGAGAAGAAGAUGAAUUUCAUGCAAUCAUUGAAUGUACAAAGAGCAGAGCGCUUAGGGAUGCCCUGAGGAAAGAUUGGGACCUGCCACCGGAAGCUUGUUUCCGACGUACCGGACCUGAUUGGCUGCAACUUCUGCUAAGCACUGUACCUGAGACCACACGGACGAGGAUUCUACUGCUUCUAUGGAGGUGCUGGUUUUUGAGGGAUAACUGUGUCCAUGGUAAUGGGAAAGAAACAAUCGGG
rnacentral:rRNA from 1 species